UCCGGUUUGUCACCGGCAGUCUCCCUAGAGUGCCCUUGCGUAGCAACUAGGGACAAGGGUUGCGCUCGUUGCGGGACUUAACCAAACAUCUCUGCGACCGGUCCUGGACAUGUCAAGGGCUGGUAAGGUUCUGCGCGUUGCGUCGAAUUAAACCACAUGCUCCACCGCUUGUGCGGGCCCCCGUCAAUUCCUUUGAGUUUUAAUCUUGCGACUGUACUCCCCAGGCGGAAUGCUUAAAGCGUUAGCUGCGCCACUGAAGAGUAAACUCUCCAACGGCUGGCAUUCAUCGUUUACGGCGUGGACUAC
rnacentral:misc_RNA from 1 species